GUUUUGGUUCCCCUCCUCAACCUACCCAAU
rnacentral:piRNA from 1 species